rnacentral:rRNA from 1 species
GACGAACCGGACAAACGUUAUUCGGAAUUACUGGGCUUAAAGGGUUUGUAGGCGGCCUUGUAAGUCAGGUGUGAAAUCCCUCGGCUCAACCGAGGAAUGGCGCUUGAUACUGCACGGCUUGAGGGAGACAGGGGUAAGCGGAACUGAUGGUGGAGCGGUGAAAUGCGUUGAUAUCAUCAGGAACACCGGUGGCGAAAGCGGCUUACUGGGUCUCUUCUGACGCUGAGGAACGAAAGCUAGGGGAGCGAACGGG